UAGCGGCGGACGGGUGAGUAACACGUGGGUAACCUGCCUGUAAGACUGGGAUAACUCCGGGAAACCGGAGCUAAUACCGGAUAGUUCCUUGAACCGCAUGGUUCAAGGAUGAAAGACGGUUUCGGCUGUCACUUACAGAUGGACCCGCGGCGCAUUAGCUAGUUGGUGAGGUAACGGCUCACCAAGGCGACGAUGCGUAGCCGACCUGAGAGGGUGAUCGGCCACACUGGGACUGAGACACGGCCCAGACUCCUACGGGAGGCAGCAGUAGGGAAUCUUCCGCAAUGGACGAAAGUCUGACGGAGCAACGCCGCGUGAGUGAUGAAGGUUUUCGGAUCGUAAAGCUCUGUUGUUAGGGAAGAACAAGUGCAAGAGUAACUGCUUGCACCUUGACGGUACCUAACCAGAAAGCCACGGCUAACUACGUGCCAGCAGCCGCGGUAAUACGUAGGUGGCAAGCGUUGUCCGGAAUUAUUGGGCGUAAAGGGCUCGCAGGCGGUUUCUUAAGUCUGAUGUGAAAGCCCCCGGCUCAACCGGGGAGGGUCAUUGGAAACUGGGAAACUUGAGUGCAGAAGAGGAGAGUGGAAUUCCACGUGUAGCGGUGAAAUGCGUAGAGAUG
rnacentral:rRNA from 2 species